rnacentral:lncRNA from 1 species
AUGUCAAAGUUAAGUGGAAAAGCAGCAGCAUUUCUCUGCCUCCUGUGGACAAAAAAAGUUCCUGGCCUGCGGGCAAAGGUGUGGAGGGUCUCGCCAGAGUGGGAUCCCGAGCAGCGCUGUCUUUCACCUUCGCCUUCCUGUGCAGGGCCUGGCGAUCAGUUCCUCUGUUCGGGGUCCCUGACUUCCCGCAAGAACUACCGUGGAACACCUGAGUACAGACUUAAUUCUAGAAGAACAAGAAGUGACUGUGUUGCUCAUGUGACAGCCGUGAAACACAGAAUUGACGGGAACAGCUGCGCUGGAUUUGGGCCUGCGAGGAUGCGGACCUCUGCAGUGAGCUGCUGCAGGAGUCCCUGGACACCCGGCGAGCACUUCCUGAGGCCUCGCUCUUCGAGGAGAGCACCGCGUCCUCUGUGUGGCUGGAGGUGGUGGAGAGAGCGACCAGGUUCCUCGGGUCCGUCGUGACGGGGUGAGUUCUUUCCUUUCUGGCCUUCUGCACGCAGACAGCUGGCCUGCUGGAGGCUGGUUCUUACCACCCUCGCUUUAGAGCUAAGAAGCCUAGUAGGUUGGUUUCUCACCUGUUUUCAGCGGGCUCUCGGUGCUGAUUCCGGGUCUGGGUUCUCAGCUUCUCAGGCAGUUUGAUUUAUGAUCCUCUGACAAGCCCCAGGAAACUGUGAUACAAAAUGAGACGGACGAGGGAGGAUGCUUAGAGAUUUGGCCAUCAGUCAUUCGUGGAGGGUUGAGCGCUGACAUUGUACGUCUCUCUGUGAUGAUUAGGAGCUGCCGUCCUGAGUGCAGAGUGGCGCUUGGCUUGAAGUCUUAUAGAUAAUGUAGGAGUAAACAACUAUUCAAGAUCAAAUUGUUUAGUCCUGUAGCUGGUCUUUUCAGUAUAAAAAAUUUUGAAUAGGAAUCAUUUGUGUGUAAGGAAAAACAUGAACUCUGGUCGUGGGUGCUAUGCAUUUUUUGUUAAGGUUUUUCAAUGUAAAGAAAAUCUAAAAUUCAACAGGAAGGACAGAUGCAGAGGAAAAGUGAGGCCACUCCUCACUCUUCUUGCCAGAGGUCAGCACGGUGCCUUCCUCCAGCCGGCAGGGGGCCUUUGGCGUUUGCGAAGGUCCCCGACUGAGUCCAGUUCCUGACCCUGCUGGUGAAGGCAUCGCCACAGAGUUUUAACGCUGGAGGCCCUGAACAUAGGCUUGGAGUUGAUUUCAAAAAUUCACCUGUAAUGUUGAUGUCAUAAGAUCUUUUCUUUGCAGUCUUGGGAUAGGAUUUUAAAAUACUUCAUUGAUGAGAGAUAACAAUUAGUGUAGACAUUUUGCCUCCAGAUUCUCAGGUGGUUUUAGAAAUUGUUUCUCUAAUUCUGUAGGAGAAUGUUGAUACUGUU